rnacentral:rRNA from 1 species
AUUGAACGCUGGCGGAAUGCUUUACACAUGCAAGUCGAGCGGCAGCGCGGGGCAACCUGGCGGCGAGCGGCGAACGGGUGAGUAAUACAUCGGAACGUACCCUGUCGUGGGGGAUAACCAAUCGAAAGGUUGGCUAAUACCGCAUACGACCUGAGGGUGAAAGCGGGGGACCGCAAGGCCUCGCGCGAUAGGAGCGGCCGAUGUCGGAUUAGCUAGUUGGUGGGGUAAAGGCCUACCAAGGCGACGAUCCGUAGCUGGUCUGAGAGGAUGAUCAGCCACACUGGGACUGAGACACGGCCCAGACUCCUACGGGAGGCAGCAGUGGGGAAUUUUGGACAAUGGGGGAAACCCUGAUCCAGCCAUUCCGCGUGAGUGAAGAAGGCCUUCGGGUUGUAAAGCUCUUUCGGCAGGAACGAAACGGUCGUCUCUAACAUAGAUGGCUAAUGACGGUACCUGAAGAAGAAGCACCGGCUAACUACGUG